UUGCAGCUGCCUGGCCAGACCGAAAGACAGCGGAGAUUCAUUACCCGUCGACACAAUGACCAUUGAUGGCCCCGUGGCGUUAUUCAAAUCCAGUACCAAUUGCAGCCGAGCCCCUUUCUCCGCGCCAGGCCCGUAUUGUUGGAGCGGCCCACUAAAAGCCCGCCCCGGCCCCGAGCCACCAGAGGCGCCCGCUCGGGUUCAGCCCUGCGCCUCGCCAGCACGCCGGCUCCCGGUCAGGCUCCCUGGGAGCUGCAGGUGACCCGGCGGCGCAUUCCGGUGCUCCCCGCCGCCUGGGCUACCGCCACCCGCGACUCAGCCACAAGGAAGCAGAGAGCGCCCGAGCCGGGACCCUUGGCCACGAUGGAAAGAGACACGUUGGGGGCGAUGGGGAUGCCCGUUCAGGGCCGGGAUCUGCGUGCCCGCUCCUCCACCUUACCGCGGGAUGGGCUGCAGUUGAUGAGCUUCUGCGAGGUAUUCCGACGCGCAGCUCCCGAGAUCUGGUGUGCGCUUUUAAGGAGCCAGGCAGAACCCCGCAGGAGACCGGGGCCCUGAACUCAGGGGCUUCGCCACUGAUUGUCCAAACGCAAUUCUUGUACGAGUCUGCGGCCAACCGAGAAUUGUGGCUGGACAUCUGUGGUUGAGCUCCGGGCUCAACAGAAACGGGGUCCACAGAGAGGAGGUCCACGAUGGGAGACCCCGGGGCGGCGGCUGGCAGGUCCCAGCAAAAGCAUAGUGGCCCCAGACUGGCGCGCAAAGAAGGGACACUAGUCCUUGCGACCAGCGCCGCCAUCCUCAUCCUCAUCCUCUUCCUUCGUCUCCUCCUCUGCGGGUGACCUGUGUCGGCUGGCAGGGUCCUCCAGUUGAUCGCACUGGUUUUCCCCGUUUUCAAAUUUCAGCCGUAACGAAUCUGGCACACAGCGGCGGGACCGGAAUGUGGUUCGUGCAGCCGGUCCUUGGCCUGAGCCGCAGUUAUUCGGGGGUGAAGGCAGAUGCCAGCAAAAUUCGUUCAUUAACUCGUUUUGAAUUUGUUCUAACCUGUCCCCUAACCAGUACUCCCAAACAACAGCAACAAAAAAUCCGAAAUCAACCCGUAUACCCCAAUCAGCCAACCAACCCCUCCCACAAGCUCCUCUGGACCGACUGAUGGGCUGAGCCUCCCACCGCUGCCAGAAACCGAGAAGCUGGGGAAUGAUGCGCUCUAGCCGGGCAACCGCCUCGGUUUUGGAAAUAAGAACUUGGACAAACGAAUCCUCAUUAAAGAAAAAUCUUCAGAGGAGCGGGGCAUGCCUGUGAUGGUGCCAGAGGAAAAGGGACAGCCUGGGCUACACAGAGAGAGCUCCUACGUCAAUCAGUGAACGAAGCAACUAAUCAACCAGUGGAAAUGGGCAGCUACCUCUUGGGUCAGUCACAGGCAGGAACCAGAACAAAGAAGACGUCACUGCUAAGGUCCAGAAGAAGAAAUGAUUACUACUUAAGUGACACUUGCUGAGUAUUUCGUGAGUCACACGAGGAUGGGAUUGUGAGAAUGUGCGCAGUUCUGUGUCAAGCAAACUGUAUGAGGAAAUAAAGCACAAC